GGCCCGGAAGCCAGAUGCGGGGCUGCCAGGAUUGGUCUUGUCAGAUUCGUCCUAAGAGGGCCGGUGGGACAGCUGCAGGUUAACUUCCUAAGUCCGGCUCCCAUCUGCUUCCACUAGUACCUUCACAUACCCAAAUUUUGGGUAUUAGAUUAGGCUGGAUGGAAAGAAAACCAUGCAACGUUUAUGAAUGAAUUGAAAAACCUUCAGGCUGAAGGACUUACGACUCUUGGCCAAUCCCUAAGGACAGCUUUUGAUUUAUUAAAUUUAAAUAGAUUAGUAACUGGCAUAGACAACUAUGGGCAGGGAAGAAACCCUUUUUUCUUGGAGCCAGCAAUAAUUAUCACAAUUACUGAUGGGAGCAAGUUGACUACCACCAGUGGAGUCCAGGAUGAGGUAAGUUGUGCUUAUAUUACAUGGAUUAUGCAAAUGCAGUUGAACAAUCCUUUAUUUUU
rnacentral:lncRNA from 1 species